rnacentral:rRNA from 1 species
CAGUCGCCACGGGAAUACGGAGGAUCCAAGCGUUAUCCGGAUUUAUUGGGUUUAAAGGGUGCGUAGGUGGCUUUUUAAGUCAGGGGUGAAAGACGGUAGCUUAACUAUCGCAGUGCCUUUGAUACUGAAGAGCUUGAAUGAACUAGAGGUAGGCGGAAUGUGACAAGUAGCGGUGAAAUGCAUAGAUAUGUCACAGAACACCAAUUGCGAAGGCAGCUUACUAUGGUUUUAUUGACACUGAGGCACGAAAGCGUGGGGAUCAAACAGGAUUAGAGACCCCCGUAGUCCCUGUCUCUUAUAC